AGGGAAGCUGUCUGGAGGCAGUGUGGCACCUGAAGAUGCUGGAGCUGCUGCUGUCAGGGAUGCACGCCCUGCCCAUUCAUCUGCCUUCUGCGCCGGGAGCCCCCGCAGAUGCGGAAGAUGCAGGGAAUGAUUCAGCCCCAGCCUUAAGACCUAUUAUGGGCACAAAGCCCUGACAAACUCCAGACAGCCCUGUUUUGGAUGCAGACAACAAUCACACAUGACAACUCAAGAGGAGUGAGGCAUGGAGCUAGUGAAGGCUGAGCAUGCUGUUCCGACUCUACGUCAGCAGCCUCAAGCCUCCGGGGCACAGCCCAUGUGUGCCUGCAACCCCGCUGGAUGCUGCCAGCUUCCACCAAGGUCCUACUGAUCCCUACCGGCCUGUUCCGCACCCAAGCCUGCCAUCUUGGUUUGGCCUUAUCACAAUUUUCACAGCACACCUGUCUUGCUCAGCAUUUUGAAUUCCAACAAAGACCUGAGGGGUCAGAGCCAAGUUGCAACAAAGGAAGACAGCACGGACAGAUACAAGAAGAGCUUAGGUGUCCCGUACAAGCCACAAGCCUCACUGUCACGUGAAGUAUUUAAAGCUGUAAAUAUCACCACAGGAAAAUCUCUGGUCUUUGCAGGAAC
rnacentral:lncRNA from 1 species